CGGACGCUGAUGCGGCCUGAACUUUUGUCGACUUCCACUUUUACCCUCGAUUCCCUUAACGCGUGGGCGCGAAGACAAAGGAACAACAAAUCUCAAAUACCAUGGUUCCCUUCGAUGCUUCGCCAAUCAACCUGGAAGAGGAAGGGAGAGAGGGAGGGAACCGUUUGAUGGUGGGUUGUGGUGGUUGGUGGUUGGUGUCUGAUACUAAUAGUAGUGUCAUAUGAAGGCAGCGUAGCCAUGGUGUCCGACCAAGAGAUAGCAAAAGGAGUAGAGGCUGUGCUCCGCCUCCGGCAAUCUGACCCUAACACCGUCACAACCUUAAACGGCGUUGUUCAGCAACUGGAGGCGAAACUAGGCCUCGACCUGUCCCACAAGGCCAGCUUCAUCAGCCAUCAGAUCAGCCUCCUCCUAUCACCGACCCCCUCUACAGACCAUUUGUCCCCUCAGUACCACCCCCAAGUCCCUUCCCACUUUGCCCUUCCCCCGCACCACCACCACCUCUACCGCUCCGCCGACGUUCUCAACUUCAACAACCCUCCGCCGCCGCAACCUCAACUGCAGAGACAACAAAGGGAAGCAAAUGUUCUCAAUGCGGCUGCUAAUGCCUCUGAAAUUCCGAAAGAAAGUACUCCUGCUGGAACCAAAAGAAGAGGAGGGUCAGGAGGCCUAAACAAGGUUUGUGGUGUUUCACCUGAACUUCAGGCCAUUGUUGGUCAGCCAGCGCUGCCAAGGACUGAGAUUGUGAAGCAGCUUUGGGCAUAUAUUAGGAAAAACAAUCUCCAGGAUCCAAGCAACAAGAGGAAUAUAAUCUGUGAUGAAGCUUUACGCAUUGUGUUUGAAACAGAUUGCACUGAUAUGUUCAAGAUGAAUAAACUGCUUGCUAAACAUAUUAUUCCUCUUGAACCUACGAAAAAAUCAGGCCAAGUUAAAAAGUUGAAGCUAGAUGUUGAAUCUGCAACUGGAAGUGUUGAAUCUGGUCCACCUCUGGUAGUAAUAUCUGAAGCCCUUGCCAACUUUUUUGCUACUGGAGAAAAGGAGAUGCUCCAAUCAGAGGCCUUGAGAUGUGUUUGGGAGUACAUAAAGGUUAAUCGUUUGGAGAUUUAUUGGGAGUAUCCUAUUUUUGUUCUCAUAGGAUCCUAUGAACUCAAUGGCAAUAAUAUGUGAUGCAAAGCUUCGGGAGCUUUUUGGAUGUGAAAGCAUUUCUGCACUGGGUAUAUCAGAGAUGUUGGCACGCCAUCAUCUAUUCAAGCAAUGCUGAUUUCUGGUCAUAUGAACUGGUUUGAAGUGAUACUGCCGUCUAGUUAUUUGUGAUGCCAUGGAAGAUGCCCAAUGAACAUGUUGGCCUAUAUGUUGUUGUUCUCUUUAUUUUUAGGUUCCUUUUGUUUAUUGACUUGGUAGUUGUGAUGCUUUGGGCGACUUGUUUAUUUACAACUAGAAUGUAAAAAUGUACAUUGGCAAGUGGAAACAGAUGUUUUGUAAUUA